rnacentral:rRNA from 1 species
GACGAACGCUGGCGGCGUGCUUAACACAUGCAAGUCGUACGGUAAGGCCCUUUCGGGGGUCCACGAGUGGCGAACGGGUGAGUAACACGUGAGUAACCUGCCCACAACUUUGGGAUAACGCUAGGAAACUGGUGCUAAUACUGGAUAUGUGCUCCUGCUGCAUGGUGGGGGUUGGAAAGCUCCGGCGGUUGUGGAUGGACUCGCGGCCUAUCAGCUUGUUGGUGGGGUAGUGGCCUACCAAGGCGGCGACGGGUAGCCGGCCUGAGAGGGUGACCGGCCACAUUGGGGCUGAGAUACGGCCCAGACUCCUACGGGAGGCAGCAGUGGGGAAUAUUGCACAAUGGGCGCAAGCCUGAUGCAGCAACGCCGCGUGCGGGAUGACGGCCUUCGGGUUGUAAACCGCUUUCAGCAGGGACGAAGCUUUUUGUGACGGUACCUGCAGAAGAAGCACCGGCUAACUACGUG